GCAUAUCAAUAAGCGGAGGAAAAGAAACCAACAGGAUUGCCUUAGUAGCGGCGAGUGAAGCGGCAAAAGCUCAAAUUUGAAAUCUGGCACUUUCAGUGUCCGAGUUGUAAUUUGAAGAAGGUAUCUUUGGGUCUGGCUCUUGUCUAUGUUUCUUGGAACAGAACGUCACAGAGGGUGAGAAUCCCGUGCGAUGAGAUGACCCAGACCUAUGUAAAGUUCCUUCGAAGAGUCGAGUUGUUUGGGAAUGCAGCUCUAAGUGGGUGGUAAAUUCCAUCUAAAGCUAAAUAUUGGCGAGAGACCGAUAGCGAACAAGUACAGUGAUGGAAAGAUGAAAAGAACUUUGAAAAGAGAGUGAAAAAGUACGUGAAAUUGUUGAAAGGGAAGGGCUUGAGAUCAGACUUGGUAUUUUGUAUGUUACUCUUUCGGGGGUGGCCUCUACAGUUUACCGGGCCAGCAUCAGUUUGGGCGGUAGGAGAAUUGCAAAGAAAUGUGGCACUGCCUCGGUAGUGUGUUAUAGUCUUCGUCGAUACUGCCAGCCUAGACUGAGGACUGCGGCUUCGGCCUAGGAUGUUGGCAUAAUGAUCUUAAGUCGCCCGUCUUGAAACACGGACCAAGGAGUCUAACGUCUAUGCAAGUGUUUGGGUGUAAAACCCGUACGCGUAAUGAAAGUGAACGUAGGUAGGACCUCCUUUAGGAGUGCACUAUCGACCGAUCCUGAUGUCUUCGGAUGGAUUUGAGUAAGAGCAUAGCUGUUGGGACCCGAAAGAUGGUGAACUAUGCCUGAAUAGGGUGAAGCCAGAGGAAACUCUGGUGGAGGCUCGUAGCGGUUCUGACGUGCAAAUCGAUCGUCGAAUUUGGGUAUAGGGGCGAAAGACUAAUCGAACCAUCUAGUAGCUGGUUCCUGCCGA
rnacentral:rRNA from 1 species